rnacentral:ncRNA from 2 species
UGAUAGCUGUGAAGCGUGAGGUUGCUGCCGAGACGAAGAAUCGUCGAUAGCAGGUUUUCCGUGGAGCGAAUGUCAAGUUAGGAAACUGGCGACAA